GACGUAGGGGGGCAAGCGUUUGUCCGGAUUCAUUGGGCGUAAAGAGCGUGUAGGCGGCCAGGUAGGUCGGUUGUGAAAACUGGAGGCUCAACCUUCAGAGGUCGACCGAAACCAUCUGGCUAGAGUCCGGGAGAGGAGAGUGGAAUUCCUGGUGUAGCGGUGAAAUGCGCAGAUAUCAGGAAGAACACCCGUGGCGAAAGCGGCUCUCUGGAACGGUACUGACGCUGAGACGCGAAAGCGUGGGGAGCGAACAGG
rnacentral:rRNA from 1 species